rnacentral:rRNA from 1 species
GAUGAACGCUGGCGGUAUGCUUAACACAUGCAAGUCGAACGGACUCUUCGGAGUUAGUGGCGGACGGGUGAGUAACGCGUGAGAAUCUGGCUUUGGGUUCGGGACAACCACUGGAAACGGUGGCUAAUACCGGAUGUGCCGAGAGGUAAAAGAGAAAUUGCCUGAAGAUGAGCUCGCGUCUGAUUAGCUAGUUGGUGAGGUAAAGGCUCACCAAGGCAGCGAUCAGUAGCUGGUCUGAGAGGAUGGCCAGCCACACUGGGACUGAGACACGGCCCAGACUCCUACGGGAGGCAGCAGUGGGGAAUUUUCCGCAAGGGGCGAAAGCCUGACGGAGCAGUACCGCGUGAGGGAAGAAGGCUCUUGGGUUGUAAACCUCUUUUCUUAGGGAAGAACAAAAUGACGGUACCUAAGGAAUCAGCAUCGGCUAACUCCGUG